rnacentral:rRNA from 1 species
ACUGAUAUGAAGAGCUUGCUCGGAUUUGAAGAUGAACAUUGCAAAGAGUGGCGAACGGGUGAGUAACACGUGGGAAACCUACCUCUUAGCGGGGGAUAACACUUGGAAACAAGUGCUAAUACCGCAUAAUACUGAUAACCGCAUGGUUAUCAGUUGAAAGAUGGUUCUGCUAUCACUAAGAGAUGGUCCCGCGGUGUAUUAGCUAGUUGGUAAGGUAAUGGCUUACCAAGGCAAUGAUACAUAGCCGAGUUGAGAGACUGAUCGGCCACAAUGGGACUGAGACACGGCCCAUACUCCUACGGGAGGCAGCAGUAGGGAAUCUUCCACAAUGGACGAAAGUCUGAUGGAGCAACGCCGCGUGUGUGAUGAAGGGUUUCGGCUCGUAAAACACUGUUGUAAGAGAAGAAUGACAUUGAGAGUAACUGUUCAGUGUGUGACGGUAUCUUACCAGAAAGGAACGGCUAAAUACGUGCCAGCAGCCGCGGUAAUACGUAUGUUCCAAGCGUUAUCCGGAUUUAUUGGGCGUAAAGCGAGCGCAGACGGUUGUUUAAGUCUGAAGUGAAAGCCCACAGCUUAACUGUGGAAGUGCUUUGGAAACUGGAUAACUUGAGUGCAAAAGAGGAGAGUGGAACUCCAUG